UACGUAGGUGGCAAGCGUUUGUCCGGAUUUACUGGGCGUAAAGGGCGCGUAGGCGGGAUGGCAAGUCGGUCGUGAAAUCCCUCGGCUCAACCGAGGAACGUCGAUCGAUACUGCUGUUCUUGAGGAUUGCAGAGGAGACUGGAAUUCCCGGUGUAGCGGUGAAAUGUGUAGAGAUCGGGAGGAACACCGGCGGCGAAGGCGGGUCUCUGGGCAAUUCCUGACGCUGAGGCGCGAAAGCUAGGGGAGCGAACGGG
rnacentral:rRNA from 1 species